rnacentral:rRNA from 1 species
GAUGAACGCUGGCGGCGUGCCUAAUACAUGCAAGUCGAGCGAAUGGAUUAAGAGCUUGCUCUUAUGAAGUUAGCGGCGGACGGGUGAGUAACACGUGGGUAACCUGCCCAUAAGACUGGGAUAACUCCGGGAAACCGGGGCUAAUACCGGAUAACAUUUUGAACCGCAGGGUUCGAAAUUGAAAGGCGGCUUCGGCUGUCACUUAUGGAUGGACCCGCGUCGCAUUAGCUAGUUGGUGAGGUAACGGCUCACCAAGGGAACGAUGCGUAGCCGACCUGAGAGGGUGAUCGGCCACACUGGGACUGAGACACGGCCCAGACUCCUACGGGAGGCAGCAGUAGGGAAUCUUCCGCAAUGGGCGAAAGUCUGACGGAGCAACGCCGCGUGAGUGAUGAAGGCUUUCGGGUCGUAAAACUCUGUUGUUAGGGAAGAACAAGUGCUAGUUGAAUAAGCUGGCACCUUGACGGUACCUAACCAGAAAGCCACGGCUAACUACGUGCCAGCAGCCGCAGUAA